rnacentral:lncRNA from 1 species
UUNUUUUUUUUUUUUUUUUUUUUUUUGGUCUUUUUAGGGCCACACUUGCAGCACCUUGAAGUUCCCAGGCUAGAAGCUGAAUCGGAGCUGCAGCUGCCGGCCUACACCACAGCCACAGCCAUGCAGGAUCCGAGCCACAUCUGUGACCUACACCACAGCUUUCUGCAAAGCCAGUCCUUAACUCAAAGUGUGGCCAGGGAUUGAACCCACAUCCUCGUGGACAUUAUGUCAGGUUCUUAACCUACAGAGCCACAAUGGGAACUCCCUCUGGGCAUUUUUUUUUACUUUAAAAAUUCUUGUGAACUGAUUGGAUACAUUAAAAUAGUCAUGCCAAAGAUACGACUAGGAAUUUCAGGAAAAGAAUAAUAUCUGUAUUUCUGUGCAUGAGUUUCCUUCAAAACCAGAGUAGCUGCAAAACACUUCAAAGUGAUGAAAUUCUUUUCUAUUUCCUUUGAAACGGCCAUUGUUUCAGGCAAAGCAAAAAUCUGUGUUCCAUCUAAGCCAUGGGGCUGCAAACAUCUUUGGUCCCACCUGGAUUCAGCGGGGUCCCAGUGAGGUGAUUAGUGACCCAGAGGCAGUGAGCACACCGCCUUUGCUGGCAGGCGGACAAGAGACUCUGAAUAACAGCUUCACACAAGAGCAGAUUCAAGAGCCACUGGUGAAGCCACUUCACAAGAGGGCAAGUCAAAGAGCGAAAGCUGGAAACGUUCGGGUGAGAGAAGCUGACUCCUGCAGGCACCUCUGCGACCCCUGCCGUCACGAUUUCCCAAAGCAGGAAGACUGAGCCUGUCCUGUGCAGGGAGGACCAAGUCUAGGAAAUAGCAUCUGCGUGUUCUACCAUGCAAUAUGCAUUUGCUCAUCCCCCAAAGUGCCUGGCCCAGAAGCAAAUGCAAGAACGCGAGAAAACGAGACUGCACCCCCAGGGAGGGCGUUUCUGUGCGUGGUCACGUCACCAGCCCAUCAACGUGACUUCCAUGAAGCUGUCACCUGGACAGACGUGUCUGCCGAGGAUGGGGAGGGACUGGGGGGACCAGGACUAUCAAAGAAUCUUUGCAUAUUUUAAGUGGUUCUUGGCAAAGCAAACUAGUAUUUUUUACAAUUAAAAAUGAACCGAAUGGAUGGACCUAGAGAUUAUAUACUAAGUGAAGUGAGCUAGAGAAAGACAAACAUCCUACGAUAUCACCUCUACGCGGAAUCCUUUUAAAAAAAUGGUGCAAAUGAACUUAUUUAAGAAACAGGAACAGACUCACGGACCUCAAAAUCAAACGUACGGUUACCCGAGGGGAAAGGCUGGGAGGAGGAGGGACUGGGGGUUUGGAACUGGCAUAUACACUCUGUUGAACAUGGAACUAAUGGUCAAUGGGAACUAAAUAUUCUGCGACAACUUAUAUGGGAUAAGAAUCUGAAAAGGAAUGGCUAUGUGUACAGCUUUAACUGAAUCGCGUUUUGCUAUGCAGCAGAAAUGAACACGACCUUGUUUUUUUUGUUUGUAUGUUUGUUUGUUUGCUUUGUAGGGCUGUACCCGAGGCACAUGGAGGUUCCCAGGCUAGGGGUCAAAUUGGAGCUCCAGCUGCCCGUCAACGCCACAACCAUGGCAACACGGAUCCUUAACCCACUGAGCCAGGCCAAGGCUCAAACCCACAUCCUCAUGGAAACUAGUCAGAUUCUUAACCUGCUGAGCCACAACGGGAACCCCUGGGACAGGUUUUUAAAGGAGCAAAAUGUAGCCAUUUCUUAAAACUUAACAAGACUUGCUAAGGUUCACAGUGAAAAUACAUUUACAAGAGUUUCAGGAAAUUUUUCUAAUAUACUCUAUUUUAUUAUUUCCUUUGAAGCAAUAAAAUACCUAAACAGUGGAUAUUCUAAAUUGUUUGUUUUGCUAACAAGUAUCAAGAACAUGCUCAGUGGAAUUCCCACUGUGGCACAGUGGGUUAAGAAUCCGACUGCAGAGGCUCGGGCCACAGUGGAGGUAUGGGUUCAAGCCCUGACCCGGCUCAGUGGGUUAAAGGAUCUGGCUUUGCCGCAGCCAUGGCAUAAGCUGCAGCUGUGGUUUGGAUUCAGUCCCUGACCCAGAAACUUCCAUAUGCCAUGGGUAUGGUCAUUAAAAGGAAAAUAUUAUAUUGUAUUAAAAUAUUGUAUUUUUGGUUCUUUUCCAUUAUAACUUAUUACAAGAUACUGACUAUCAGUCCCUAUGCUAUUCAGUAAAUCCUUGUUUAUUUUCGAUAUAGUAAUGCACAUCUGUUAAUCCCAAACUCCCAAUUUAUCCCUCCUCCCACUCCCCUUCAGUAACCUUAAGUUUGUUUUCUAUGUCUGUGAGUCUGUUUCUGUUUUGUAAAUAAGAUCAUUUGUAUCAUUUUUUAGAUUUCACACACAACUGAUAUCACAUGGUAUCUAUCUUUCUCCUUCUGACUGACUUCACUCACAUGAUAAUCUUUAGGUCCAUUCAGGUUGCUGCAAAUGGCAUUGUUUUGUCCUUUUUGUGGCUGAGUAGUAUUCCAUUGUUUAUAUGUACCGUAUCUUCUUUAACCAUUCCUCUGCAAUGGUCACUUGGGCUGCUUCCACGUCUUGCCUAUCACCAAUACUGCCGCUUUGAACACUGAGGUAUGGCUAUCUCAUGCUUCCAAAGAUGCACUGACACCUUUUGCUCUGGACUGUGUUUCCAAGGAUGUUUGUGUAGCAAACAGACUUGAAAGACAGAGACCGUGUCUCUUUCCAAAAGCAGAAGGCAGAUUUCUUUAGAGACAGAAAAAUAUGGUUGACAAAUGGUAUACCACUCGUGGCCCACAAAGGCUGGGCUUCACUUGGAACUCAACACACUCCCAUAGAUGCAUCCAAUGAAAUAAUAUGGGUGUCCAUGAACAUUCUUGGUUUUUGAAUCAAAAUCCUAGAGCUGCAAAUCUAGUUUUAAGUGUAUUCUCUGCAAGUGUGCCAGUCUCUCUCUGAAAACACUGUUUUCAGGAAGGCACCCAGGCUGCACAUGCGGCUUGGAUCCCGAGUUGCUGUGGCUGUGGUGUAGGGUGGCAGCUGUAGCUUCAAUUGACCCCUAGUCUGGGAACCUCCAUAUGCCGCGAGUGCAGCCCUACAAAGCCAAAAACAAAAGAAGUGGCUGGGCCUUCCCAAGAGAUUCUAGUGGCCAAGCAGCCUCAAGGCGUGUCCUCAGAUGUCACCUCUGUUUCCCUUCUUAACAAAGAGAACACUGAUCCACACAGUUCCUCUGAGUCACAUCUAUAGGGAUGUCUUUAAAUGAGAAGCCUGAGAAGUAACAGCAGGAGCUCCUGCCCGGCUCAGGUGUCUCCCUCAAAGCACCCAACGCACGGUAAUGAAAGGGACAGAGAAUGAGCAGACUCUUGCAUGAUCCCAAGGCGGGGACAGUCCAGCCUGAUCCCAAGGGCUUCUCUGCCUUUUCCUACCAUCAAACCGACACCCAGUCAAAAUGCCAAUGUUGCCAGAUUGUACACCACAUAGCACAUUUGGUAGAGGGGAAGCAGGUAAACCAGAUGUUGUACAUGAUAAUUUCCAAGACAGCUUUACUAACAGAGCAAACUACAAGUGAGGUCCCCACCAGCUCUGCGGUAUCUUUCCACAAUCUGAAAGGCAAGAGAAAAUUCUGCCAUCGCACUUGCCUCACAGGUGCCGGCACCUGCCCUGACACAUCCAAGAGAGACCAGCAUGAAACAGGGUUCCUCUCAACCUAAAGAACGCAAACACUCUGUUCCCCCAAAAGUCAUGGCAGUUCAUUCCACUGAACUGUCCCUUACAACGCUGGGCCAGCUGUCCCCUUUCUGAGAAGGCCCUUUAGAGGACAGGGGUUUCCAAGUUACUGUCGGUGGUGGAGCAGGGAGAGUGGGAAGGAAAGGUCUCCCUCCCGCCUGCUUCAUUUUUCUUCAUGGCAUUUGAUUCCCCGGAAUCUGUCCAUUUGUUGGCUCCUUAAUGAACAGCUGCCCUGCCUCUUCCACACACGAGAAUGUAAGUUCCACGACGAAGAUAAAACUCCCGAAUCCCCAGCCUGCCUGGCACACAGUGGGCACGAAAUAUUUCUUGAAAUGAACCUUUGAGUCAACGUCAAGUCCUUUAAUGAAGAAUGCAGAAUUGCACUGCCUGAUAAAACGCGUGUUGGGAGUUCCCGUCGUGGCUCAGUGGUUAACAAAUCCAACUAGGAACCAUGAGGUUGCGGGUUCGAUCCCUGGCCUUGAUCAGUGGGUUGAGGAUCCAACGUUGCCGUGAGCUGUGAUGUAGGUUGCAGAUGCGGCUCGGAUCCCGCGUUGCUGUGGCUCUGGUGUAGGCUGGCAGCUAUAGCUCUGAUUCGACCCCUAGCCUGGGAACCUCCUCGGGAGCAGCCCAAGAGAUGGCAAAAAAAGACCAAAAAAAAAAAAAAAAAGCAUGUUGGAAAAAAAGCUUAAAGAUAAUAAUAAUUAUAGAAGCUGAUUUCAUAGGAAGCACUAGAAACGUCCACCAAGGCUGUCGGUCCAUAAAAGCCAGGAAACGAAAGUUGCUACCUGGGACCCCAAAGGUUCAGUGAAAACAGCCUCACCCCAUAUUAUUAUACGCAGGAUUCAGAUCACAAAACAUGUCCAAGUUAACCUGAUGAAGUGAGUCAUCAAAAUGUGAGAUUCAAAGUUGCUGAAAUCUGAAGCUCACGCUUGGCGCACUCAAUGCACCAGCCUGCCCGCCAGUCAUCAACCCAAAAUCACUGUCCUGGAGCAGUCAGGAAGUUGUCUCAAGAAGGCUGUGUUUUUAGAACUGCUUUGAUACUUUACUUUAAAAAAAAACAUGUUUAGGUAUACAGUUCUAUAAUUUACAGAUUAGUCCAUGAGAAUAUUUUUAAAG